rnacentral:rRNA from 1 species
CCUACGGGGUGCAGCAGUGAGGAAUAUUGGUCAAUGGACGAGAGUCUGAACCAGCCAAGUAGCGUGAAGGAUGACUGCCCUAUGGGUUGUAAACUUCUUUUAUAUGGGAAUAAAAUGUUCCACGUGUGGGAUUUUGUAUGUACCAUAUGAAUAAGGAUCGGCUAACUCCGUGCCAGCAGCCGCGGUAAUACGGAGGAUCCGAGCGUUAUCCGGAUUUAUUGGGUUUAAAGGGAGCGUAGGUGGAUUGUUAAGUCAGUUGUGAAAGUUUGCGGCUCAACCGUAAAAUUGCAGUUGAAACUGGCAGUCGUGAGUACAGUAGAGGUGGGCGGAAUUCGUGGUGUAGCGGUGAAAUGCUUAGAUAUCACGAAGAACUCCGAUUGCGAAGGCAGCUCACUGGACUGCAACUGACACUGAGGCUCGAAAGUGUGGGUAUCAAACAGGAUUAGAUACCCAAGUAGUC